AUGAACGCUAGCGACAGGCUUAACACAUGCAAGUCGAGGGGCAGCACAGGUAGCAAUACCGGGUGGCGACCGGCGCACGGGUGAGUAACGCGUAUGCAACUUGCCUAUCAGAGGGGGAUAACCCGGCGAAAGUCGGACUAAUACCGCAUGAAGCAGGGGCCCCGCAUGGGGAUAUUUGCUAAAGAUUCAUCGCUGAUAGAUAGGCAUGCGUUCCAUUAGGCAGUUGGCGGGGUAACGGCCCACCAAACCGACGAUGGAUAGGGGUUCUGAGAGGAAGGUCCCCCACAUUGGUACUGAGACACGGACCAAACUCCUACGGGAGGCAGCAGUGAGGAAUAUUGGUCAAUGGCCGAGAGGCUGAACCAGCCAAGUCGCGUGAGGGAUGAAGGUUCUAUGGAUCGUAAACCUCUUUUAUAAGGGAAUAAAGUGCGGGACGUGUCCCGUUUUGUAUGUACCUUAUGAAUAAGGAUCGGCUAACUCCGUGCCAGCAGCCGCGGUAAUACGGAGGAUCCGAGCGUUAUCCGGAUUUAUUGGGUUUAAAGGGUGCGUAGGCGGCCUUUUAAGUCAGCGGUGAAAGUCUGUGGCUCAACCAUAGAAUUGCCGUUGAAACUGGGGGGCUUGAGUAUGUUUGAGGCAGGCGGAAUGCGUGGUGUAGCGGUGAAAUGCAUAGAUAUCACGCAGAACCCCGAUUGCGAAGGCAGCCUGCCAAGCCAUUACUGACGCUGAUGCACGAAAGCGUGGGGAUCAAACAGGAUUAGAUACCCUGGUAGUCCACGCAGUAAACGAUGAUCACUAGCUGUUUGCGAUACACUGUAAGCGGCACAGCGAAAGCGUUAAGUGAUCCACCUGGGGAGUACGCCGGCAACGGUGAAACUCAAAGGAAUUGACGGGGGCCCGCACAAGCGGAGGAACAUGUGGUUUAAUUCGAUGAUACGCGAGGAACCUUACCCGGGUUUGAACGCAUUCGGACCGAGGUGGAAACACCUUUUCUAGCAAUAGCCGUUUGCGAGGUGCUGCAUGGUUGUCGUCAGCUCGUGCCGUGAGGUGUCGGCUUAAGUGCCAUAACGAGCGCAACCCUUGCCACUAGUUACUAACAGGUAAAGCUGAGGACUCUGGUGGGACUGCCAGCGUAAGCUGCGAGGAAGGCGGGGAUGACGUCAAAUCAGCACGGCCCUUACAUCCGGGGCGACACACGUGUUACAAUGGCGUGGACAAAGGGAAGCCACCUGGCGACAGGGAGCGAAUCCCCAAACCACGUCUCAGUUCGGAUCGGAGUCUGCAACCCGACUCCGUGAAGCUGGAUUCGCUAGUAAUCGCGCAUCAGCCACGGCGCGGUGAAUACGUUCCCGGGCCUUGUACACACCGCCCGUCAAGCCAUGGGAGCCGGGGGUACCUGAAGUCCGUAACCGCGAGGAUCGGCCUAGGGUAAAACUGGUGACUGGGGCU
rnacentral:rRNA from 1 species